CACAACUUUUAGAAUCUGCUAUCUUGGACCCCAUCUCUUUCACUUUUCCAAAACAAAACCCCUCAUGCCAAUCAAUAUCGCUGCUACUUGAACCCUCAAUCGUCCUUCAUAUUGUGCUAUUCUAAUCAAAUGGCUUCUUUGUCCAGAUUUAUUGUAAAAGAUUGUAAAUUGCAGUCUUCAGACGCACUUCACAGACCAAGUUAGGGGUUUUCUGCUCGAAGGACAUCCACCCAUUUUAGUACAAUCCUUGGCAUCUAUAAACCUGUCGUGGUCACUUGGUUGGAAACAUACCUGUUCACUCUUGGUUUGGGAUUUCUAAUGCUUUUGAUGGUUUGACACUAACAUUUGAGGACUUCCGACGAUGCUUAAGGAACCCAUGGACUGUUGGUGUUGGAUUUCUGGCUCAGUACUUCAUCAAACCACUUUUAGGCUUUGCAAUAGCAAUGAUUUAAGACGUGUGGAGGCGAAUUUUAGGGGAAAAGCUAUUUCCAAGGGUUGAGUUGGCCUAGUUGAGAUCUCAGGUGCCUCGGCUAUUGUUUAUUAUUAGCUAGCUGGUCGAGCAUUGCUGUGGAGAUUCAAGGUAAACCUGUCACAUUCGCAGGCUUCAGAGUCACCUUCUGAUAUUGUACUUUUACCGUUUAAUUUCCAUUCUGAGCAGUUAUAUUUAGGGAUUCUUGUAGUAAACUCAGUAGAGCUUAUGACUUGUACUACCGGUUUUUGGAAUUGUAAGUUAUAUAUAAAGAUUUCUAUUU